GACGAACGCUGGCGGCGUGCUUAACAAAUGCAAGUCGAACGAGUGGCGAACGGGUGAGUAAUACGUGGGUAACCUGCCCUCUUUUUGGGAUAAGCGUUGGAAACGGGGUCUAAUAACGAAGAAAGGGGGAUGGGCUCGCGGACUAUCAGCUUGUUGGUGGGGUGAUGGCCUACCAAGGCGGUGACGGUUAGCCGGCCUGAGAAGGUGACCGGCCACAAUGGGUCUGGUGUACGGCCCAGACUCCUACGGGAGGCAGCAGUGGGGGAUAUUGCACAAUGGGCGGAAGUCUGACGGAGCAACGCCGCGUGAGUUAUGACGGCCUUCGGGUUGUAAAGCUCUGUUAAUCGGGACGCGGUACCGGAAUAGAAAGCCACGGCUAACUACGUGCCAGCAGCCGCGGUAAUUC
rnacentral:rRNA from 1 species